GGAGUCGGCCGGACAGUCGCGUCGCGCGCAAGCGCAUCGAGGAAAGUCCGGGCUCCAUAGGGCAGAGUGCCAGGUAACUCCUGGGCAGCGUGAGCUGACGGCCAGUGCAACAGAGAGCAGACCGCCGAUGGCCCGGCUACUUUCGGGUAGCUCGGGCACAGGUAAGGGUGAAAGGGUGCGGUAAGAGCGCACCGCGUACGGGGCCAACGUCGUACGGCACGGUAAACCCCACUCGGAGCAAGACCAAAUAGGGGAACGAUAACGCGGCCCGCGUUGUUCCCGGGUAGGUUGCUGGAGCCAGGCGGCGACGCCUGGCCGAGAGGAAUGACUGUCGCGUCGCAAGACGUACAGAACCCGGCUUACAGGCCGACUCCACCU
rnacentral:RNase_P_RNA from 1 species